rnacentral:rRNA from 1 species
UACAGAGGGUGCAAGCGUUAAUCGGAAUUACUGGGCGUAAAGCGCGCGUAGGUGGUUUGUUAAGUUGAAUGUGAAAUCCCCGGGCUCAACCUGGGAACUGCAUGCAAACUGGCAAGCUAGAGUAUGGUAGAGGGUGGUGGAAUUUCCUGUGUAGCGGUGAAAUGCGUAGAUAUAGGAAGGAACACCAGUGGCGAAGGCGACCACCUGGACUGAUACUGACACUGAGGUGCGAAAGCGUGGGGAGCAAACAGG